AGGGCAAGGACCCGAACAAGAAGACCAAGAAAGAAGGGAUCUCCACAGGACCCAGUCGAUCCCACACUGAGAGGGAGGCCCCACCUUCUCAGCUAAGCCUGAGGCCAAACAACUUCAGCUCCAGGUAUCAUUCCUACACCCUUCUAACCACUCCUCAUGCGCAGCUCCUCAUGGAGGUAGAGGGGGAGAACUACCUUCGACGACCCUAGCUAAUGAAGAUAAGAGC
rnacentral:lncRNA from 1 species